rnacentral:rRNA from 1 species
CAGCCGCCGCGGUAAUACGAAGGGUGCAAGCGUUACCCGGAAUUACUGGGCGUAAAGCGUGCGUAGGUGGUGGUUUAAGUCCGUUGUGAAAGCCCUGGGCUCAACCUGGGAAUUGCAGUGGAUACUGGGUCACUAGAGUGUGGUAGAGGAUAGUGGAAUUUCCGGUGUAGCAGUGAAAUGCGUAGAGAUCGGAAGGAACAUCUGUGGCGAAGGCGACUAUCUGGGCCAACACUGACACUGAGGCACGAAAGCGUGGGGAGCAAACAGGAUUAGAUACCCCAGUAGUCCCUGUCUCUUAUAC